rnacentral:rRNA from 1 species
GGCUUAGAGUUUGAUCAUGGCUCAGGAUGAACGCUGGCGGUAUGCCUAAGACAUGCAAGUCGAACGAAGUGGCCCAUUGAAAAUUGCGUGCUUGCACAAAAUUGGAUUAGGAUUCCCACUUAGUGGCAGACGGGUGAGUAACACGUGGGUAACCUACCCCUUAGUCUGGGACAACUAUUGGAAACGAUAGCUAAUACCGGAUGAUUCAUUGGAGGAUAACCUCCGAUGCUAAAAGGAGCUUCGGCUUCGCUUUGGGAUGGGCUUGCGGUGUAUUAGCUUGUUGGUGAGGUAAUGGCUCACCAAGGCUACGAUGCAUAUCCGGGCUGAGAGGCUGAUCGGACACAUUGGAACUGAGAUACGGUCCAAACUCCUACGGGAGGCAGCAGUUAGGAAUAUUCGUCAAUGGGGGAAACCCUGAACGAGCAAUGCCGCGUGAGUGAUGAAGGUCUAUUAGAUUGUAAAGCUCUGUUGCGAGGGAAGAAUAGCUUUUCAUAGGUAAUGAUGAAAGUGUGACGGUACCUCGUCAGAAAGCCCGGCUAACUACGUGCCAGCAGCCCGCGGUAAUACGUAGGGGGCGAGCCGUUAUCCGGAUUUAUUUGGGCGUAAAGCGUUCGUAGGCGGUUUGUUAAGUCUAAAAUCAAUCUUGGGGCUUAACUCCUUUCGUUUAGAAAACUGGGCAGACUUGAGUGUGGUAGAGGCAAGUGGAAUUUCUAGUGUAGCCGGUUAAUUGCGUAAAUAUUAGAAGAACACCAGUGGCGAAAGCCGGCCUGCUGGGUCCAUUACUGACGCAGAGGACCGAUGACGUUGCGGAGCAAAUAGGAUUAGAUACCCCUAUUAGUCCACCGCCGUUAU